rnacentral:rRNA from 1 species
GUGACAAGAAAUAACAAUACAGGACUUUAACAGUUUUGUAAUUGGAAUGAGUUGAGUAUAAACCCCUUUACAAGUAUCAAUUGGAGGGCAAGUCUGGUGCCAGCAGCCGCGGUAAUUCCAGCUCCAAUAGCGUAUAUUAAAGUUGUUGCAGUUAAAAAGCUCGUAGUUGGAUUUCUGUUAAUAAUUUAUAUAUAAUAUUUAACAUAUUUAUAUAAUAUUAACAUAAUUCAUAUUACUAUUUAUAGUAUAUGAAACUUUACUUUGAGAAAAUUAGAGUGCUUAAAGCAG